AAGCAUAUCAAUAAGCGGAGGAAAAGAAACUAACAAGGAUUCCCCUAGUAACUGCGAGUGAAGCGGGAAAAGCUCAAAUUUAAAAUCUGGCGGUCUUCGAUCGUCCGAGUUGUAGUCUGGAGAAGCGUCUUCCGCGCUGGACCGUGUACAAGUCUCUUGGAACAGAGCGUCGUAGAGGGUGAGAAUCCCGUCUUUGACACGGACUACCAGUGCUUUGUGAUGCGCUCUCAAAGAGUCGAGUUGUUUGGGAAUGCAGCUCAAAAUGGGUGGUAAAUUCCAUCUAAAGCUAAAUAUUGGCGAGAGACCGAUAGCGAACAAGUACCGUGAGGGAAAGAUGAAAAGCACUUUGGAAAGAGAGUUAAACAGUACGUGAAAUUGCUGAAAGGGAAAUGAUUGAAGUCAGUCGCGUCGUCUAGAACUCAACCUUGCCUCGGCUCGGUGCAUUUUCUAGUUGACGGGCCAGCAUCAGUUUUGACCGUCGGAAAAAGGUCCUCGGAAUGUGGCACCUUCGGGUGUGUUAUAGCCUUGGGUCGUAUACGACGGUUGGGACUGAGGACCGCAGCACGCCUUUAUGGCCGGGGUUCGCCCACGUACGUGCUUAGGAUGC
rnacentral:rRNA from 1 species